rnacentral:lncRNA from 1 species
AAGUGCUCCUUUGAGGCAGAUCCUGACCUAGUGCAGUGAUCUUUCCCUAGAGAAGACUCACAGAACUGGCAAUCAUUGCACCAGGAGAGAUGAAUUGCUUUGCUCUGAAGUACAGAAAUCUACCCAAUGACACGGCACCCCACACACAACAAGGAGAUGUGUACAAAUAUCUAGUUCAUACAAUUUCAAUCAAGAGGAAUGAGAAGAGAAAACACUUCUGCAUCAAGGUGACUUCACUCAAUUGCAGCCGAAAAUGAAUGAGAUCAUGUCAGUAAAUGCCUUUGGGUUCUUCAAAGAAAGUGAAAAACCCACCAGUUCACUGUGAAUCCCAAGCCUGCA